AGUGUGACAGUAAGCCGAUCAGUGAGGCGGUGACCGAGUACCUGGAGAGCAGGAAGAAGUAUGAAGACAAAAGGAAGCAGAAACUGAAGAAAGGCUCUGGCCGAGAGUCUCAGACACUCGCUCUUUUGGAACGCUUCAAAUCCAAACUAUCAUCUGCGAUUUCGGAGUCUCCUAGCGUUCCCAUGGAAGACGUCGAGGAACUUGGCGAGGAUGACGAUAAGGGCUGGAUGGCCCAUGUUCUGAACUUUGAUGAACAAAACAGAAAGGUAAAAGAUGCCAAUAUGCAGGACGGAGACACGUUUGAGAUCUAUGAUCCACGCAACCCCGUCAACAAGAGGAGACGAGAGGAGAGCAAAAAACUGAUGAAAGAGAAGAAAGCCAGGAGAUGAGACUGCAGCUGCCCGUCUGGAGUGACUCCUGACGUUUAAAAAGGGGUGGGAAAGCAUUUCUAGCUGAGAAGAAUCAUAUUCACUGUGUGUGGGAGAUAUCUGCAAACUCUUUAUUGAAAAGACAUUCAUUUCUGUCUACUAAUAAUGAAGAUGGCAAGCGUUUAUUGUUUUUAACCCAUAGAGGAAAGGGAACGCCAUCUUCUUAUUCCUCAGUGAAUUUUUUGCAUCUUUCCGCAAAAUAAACCUCUUCAUGAACACGUUUAAUCAUUCUCUCGAUGACAGUGUAAGUUCUUAUCAUGUUAAUAAAAUUCAUUAUUUCUGAUGUUUAAGCAUUGUUGUUUACUUUGUGACCUAACUAUUAAAUUGAUUAAAUUCACGGUCAAGCUGCACAGGCCAACUAAUCUUAAAAAUCAGUCAUAGUAACUUAACUGAAGCCAAUACAGAUAGAAGGUAAGGUGGCCAUUAACUGAUAUACGCAAAAGCAUGUAAAAACAUGCAUUGAUCCAAUGAUAUAAACAAAUUUAUUGAAUCUAUUACAUAAUUGAAUAAUUGAUCAUGAUUAAAA